rnacentral:rRNA from 1 species
AUUGAACGCUGGCGGCAGGCUUAACACAUGCAAGUCGAGAGGUAACAGAGAGAAGCUUGCUUCUCUGCUGACGAGCGGCGGACGGGUGAGUAAUGCCUAGGAAUCUGCCUAGUAGUGGGGGAAAACUUGCCGAAAGGUAAGCUAAUACCGCAUACGUCCUACGGGAGAAAGGAGGGGACCUUCGGGCCUUUCGCUAUUAGAUGAGCCUAGGUCGGAUUAGUUAGUUGGUGGGGUAAUGGCUCACCAAGACCGCGAUCCGUAACUGGUCUGAGAGGAUGAUCAGUCACACUGGAACUGAGACACGGUCCAGACUCCUACGGGAGGCAGCAGUGGGGAAUAUUGGACAAUGGGGGGAACCCUGAUCCAGCCAUGCCGCGUGUGUGAAGAAGGUCUUAGGAUUGUAAAGCACUUUAAGUUGGGAGGAAGAGCAGUUAACUAAUAUUUGACUGUUUUGACGUUACCGACAGAAUAAGCACCGGCUAACUUCGUGCCAGCCGCCGCGGUAA